rfam:Monodelphis domestica chromosome 3, whole genome shotgun sequence.
GUGCUCACCUUGGUGCUAUACAUAUUAAAAUUUAAAUAAUACAGAGAAGAUUCAAAUUGCCACUUGCAAGGAAGACAUGCAAAUUUGUGAACAGUUUCUUAGUCUG